AGUGAACGCUGGCGGUAGGCCUAACACAUGCAAGUCGAACGGCAGCACAGUAAGAGCUUGCUCUUACGGGUGGCGAGUGGCGGACGGGUGAGGAAUACAUCGGAAUCUACUUUUUCGUGGGGGAUAACGUAGAGAAACUUACGCUAAUACCGCAUACGACCUACGGGUGAAAGCAGGGGAUCUUCGGACCUUGCGCGAUUGAAUGAGCCGAUGUCGGAUUAGCUAGUUGGCGGGGUAAAGGCCCACCAAGGCGACGAUCCGUAGCUGGUCUGAGAGGAUGAUCAGCCACACUGGAACUGAGACACGGUCCAGACUCCUACGGGAGGCAGCAGUGGGGAAUAUUGGACAAUGGGCGCAAGCCUGAUCCAGCCAUACCGCGUGGGUGAAGAAGGCCUUCGGGUUGUAAAGCCCUUUUGCUGGGAAAGAAAAGCAGCAGGUUAAUACCCCGCUGUUCUGACGGUACCCAAAGAAUAAGCACCGGCUAACUUCGUG
rnacentral:rRNA from 1 species